UACGUAGGGUGCGAGCGUUUGUCCGGAAUUAUUGGGCGUAAAGGGCUCGUAGGCGGUCUGUCGCGUCGGGAGUGAAAACUCAGGGCUUAACCCUGAGCCUGCUUCCGAUACGGGCAGACUAGAGGUAUGCAGGGGAGAACGGAAUCCUGGUGUAGCGGUGGAAUGCGGCAGAUAUCAGGAGGAACACCGGUGGCGAAGGCG
rnacentral:rRNA from 1 species